rnacentral:rRNA from 1 species
UUGAACGCUGGCGGAAUGCUUUACACAUGCAAGUCGAACGGCAGCAUAGAGAGCUUGCUCUCUGAUGGCGAGUGGCGAACGGGUGAGUAAUAUAUCGGAACGUGCCUAGUAAUGGGGAAUAACUAGCUGAAAGGUUAGCUAAUGCCGCAUACGACCUACGGGUGAAAGCAGGGGAUCUUCGGACCUUGCGUUAUUAGAGCGGCCGAUAUCUGAUUAGCUUGUUGGUGGGGUAAUGGCCUACCAAGGCGACGAUCAGUAGCUGGUCUGAGAGGACGAUCAGCCACACUGGAACUGAGACACGGCCCAGACUCCUACGGGAGGCAGCAGUGGGGAAUCUUGC